UACAGAGGCCUCGAGCGUUAGGCGGAAUCACUGGGCUUAAAGCGUGUGUAGGCGGACUUCUAAGUACCUUGUGAAAUCCCACGGCUCACCCGUGGAACUGCUCGGUAUACUGGUUGUCUUGAGCCUUCUAGGGGCGAGUGGAACAAAUGGUGGAGCGGUGAAAUGCGUAGAUAUCAUUUGGAACGCCAAUGGUGAAAACAACUCGCUGGGGAAGUGCUGACGCUGAGACACGAAAGCCAGGGGAGCGAACGGG
rnacentral:rRNA from 2 species